rnacentral:rRNA from 1 species
UACGUAGGGUGCGAGCGUUGUCCGGAAUUAUUGGGCGUAAAGGGCUCGUAGGCGGUCUGUCGCGUCGGAUGUGAAAACCCAGGGCUCAACCCUGGGCCUGCAUUCGAUACGGGCAGACUAGAGUACGGUAGGGGAGACUGGAAUUCCUGGUGUAGCGGUGAAAUGCGCAGAUAUCAGGAAGAACACCCGUGGCGAAGGCGGCUCUCUGGGACGGUACUGACGCUGAGACGCGAAAGCGUGGGGAGCGAACAGG